rnacentral:ncRNA from 1 species
AAAUAUGCGCUGAUAAGGACGAGUAGGACGCUCCAACGCGCGCAGAGAGCUGCCGGACGGUGUAAGGCAGCGGCGUGAGCGGCUGAAUAUCCCCUUGGAGCAUCCGACCGAACGGAAACCAGUAGGCUCGGACGGGACCUCCCGUUACAGAGGCAGAGUGUCCGCGCACCGCGCGGGAAUUCAGGUGGUACCACGGCAUCCCGCCGCCCUGAGC